rnacentral:rRNA from 1 species
ACGCUCGACACCUACGGAAGGCAGCAGUGGGGAAUAUUGGGCAAUGGGCGCAAGCCUGACCCAGCAACGCCGCGUGAAGGAAGAAGGCCCUCGGGUUGUAAACUUCUUUUGUCAGGGACGAAGCAAGUGACGGUACCUGACGAAUAAGCCACGGCUAACUACGUGCCAACAGCCGCGGUAAUCUGAGCGGGCUGGCAAGGC